rnacentral:rRNA from 1 species
CAGCAGCCGCGGUAAUACAUAGGUCGCAAGCGUUAUCCGGAAUUAUUGGGCGUAAAGCGUUCGUAGGCUGUUUAUUAAGUCUGGAGUCAAAUCCCAGGGCUCAACCCUGGUUCGCUUUGGAUACUGGUAAACUAGAGUUGGAUAGAGGUAAGCGGAAUUCCAUGUGAAGCGGUGAAAUGCGUAGAUAUAUGGAAGAACACCAAAGGCGAAGGCAGCUUACUGGGUCUAUACUGACGCUGAGGGACGAAAGCGUGGGGAGCAAACAGGAUUAGAUACCCGUGUAGUCCCUGUCUCUUAUACA